rnacentral:rRNA from 1 species
GAUGAACGCUGGCGGCGUGCCUAACACAUGCAAGUCGAGCGAUUUACUUCGGUAAAGAGCGGCGGACGGGUGAGUAACGCGUGGGUAACCUGCCCUGUACACACGGAUAACAUACCGAAAGGUAUGCUAAUACGAGAUAAUAUACUUUUAUCUCAUGGUAGAAGUAUCAAAGCUCUGGAGGUACAGGAUGGACCCGCGGCUGAUUAGCUAGUUGGUAAGGUAACGGCUUACCAAGGCGACGAUCAGUAGCCGACCUGAGAGGGUGAUCGGCCACAUUGUAACUGAGGCACUGUCCAAACUCCUACGGGAGGCAGCAGUGGGGAAUAUUGCACAAUGGGCGAAAGCCUGAUGCAGCCACGCCGCGUGAGCGAUGAAGGCCUUCUGGUCGUAAAGCUCUGUCCUCAAGGAAGAUAAUGACGGUACUUGAGGAGGAAGCCCCGGCUAACUACGUGCCAGCCGCCGCAGUAA